UGGGGAAUUUUGCACAAUGGGGGAAACCCUGAUGCAGCGACGCCGCGUGAUUUAGAAGGCCUUCGGGUUGUAAAAAUCUUUUUUAUGGGAUGAAAAUGACAGUACCAUAAGAAUAAGGUCCGGCUAAAUACGUGCCAGCAGCCGCGGUAAUACGUAUGGACCGAGCGUUGUCCGGAAUCAUUGGGCGUAAAGGGUACGUAGGCGGCCCAGUAAGUUAGAAGUGAAAUAAUAUAGCUCAACUAUAUAAAGCUUUUAAAACUGCUAGGCUUGAGAGAUGGAAGGGAAAGUGGAAUUCCUAGGGUAGCGGUGAAAUGCGUAGAUAUUAGGGGGAAGACCGGUGGCGAAGGCGACUUUCUGGACUUUUACUGACGCUCAGGUACGAAAGCGUGGGGAGCAAACAGG
rnacentral:rRNA from 1 species